rnacentral:ncRNA from 1 species
CCGGCCCGUUUCAGGGCUAGGGAUGAAAAGGGAAUCAGGUGAAAAUCCUGGACAGUACCCGCUGCUGUAACUCUCCAAGACACAUCGCGCGGCACGCAUGCCACUGGUUGCAAACUCUCAUGUCUGCAUCAUCACCGGGAAGGCGCCGACGACGAUAGGGGAGAAGUCAGAAGACCUGCCUUCAC